UGGUUAGCAUCUCUGCUUCCUCUAGCCGGCUGUGUCAUUGAACCUGUGUGAUCAGACGCAAACCAGAUCAGUAUGACUUCAAAGCUUCAUCUUUGAGAUGGAGUCUUGCUCCCUCGUCCGGGCUGGAGUGCAAUGGCGCAAUCUCGGCUCACUGCAACCUCCGCCUCCCGGGUUCAAGCAAUUCUCCUGUCUCAGUCUCCCGAGCAGCUGGGACUAUAGGCGCCUGCCAGCACGCCCGGCUAAUUUUUGUAUUUUUAGUAAAGACUGAGUUUCACCUUGUUGGUCAAGCUGGUCUCGAACUCGUGACCUCAGGUGAUCCACACGCCUCUGCCUCCUAAAGUGCUGGGAUUACAGGCGUGAGCCACCGCGCACGGCUAAAGCUUCAGUUCUUAACCAUCAGGCGACAUUGGGCAAACUGCGGCUCAGAAAGAUAAAGAACUUCUCCGGAGCGAAAAAGCUGCUAAGAAUGUAUCCAAAACUCCGCACGAAGUCUGGAACGUUUUUUCUUAGAGUUCCAGAAUUGAGACUGAAGUGUACCCAGAGACACAAAGAAAUACAGAAGUCCAGAAUGAUCAAAUGAGAUCACUACCCAAUGAAAUGAUGGGCCGAGGAGCCAGAAGUUGUCCUACUACCUGCUUUCCAGGUCCAGAUUCCACGAGAGCCUUCUGGGCUCCCACCAGAGACCCUCAGUGAAGACUCUGUUGAAGACUUUAAGACCAUGCUAGAAAGCCUCCCGGCAGAGGUUCAGGAAGUUCUGCUAUGAGGAUGCAGCUGGCCCCAGGGAUGUCCUCAGGCAUCUCUAGGACCUUGCUGGACGGUGGUGGCUGAGACCUGAUAUCCACACAAAGGAGCAGACUGUGGAAAUGCUGGUGCAGGAGCAAUUCCAGGCUGUCCUGCCCGAGGAGCUCAGAGCUCAAGCACAGAGAUGUCAGCCUGGAAUCAGAAUCACUGGCUAAGUCUUGCUGCUUGCUUCUUGCUCAGCCUGCAUAUGAGAAGUCAACCAAGCAUUCUCUUGGAUGCAAGAUCCAACUGCACCCAUGGGAAAUCUGAACUUCCACUUUCUUUGAGCUUGUCUUUGGUUGUAAUAAGAAUCCAUCAAAACCCAUGUCUGGAUCUCUCUUUGGCUGAGGCAGCUUUAUUUCCUACAGAAAGAGUUUCUCUGUCCUCUUGUUAGGACAAUCAGCCUGCUGCUUUGGGCUUUUCCAAGAGCCUAUUUUUCAUCUGCUGGAUGCCUCUUUUUUUUUUUUUUUUUUUUUUUGCACUGUGUGACAUGCUUUAAUAUAUAUAUUUUUUAUGUAUCCAAAGAGGUAAUCAACUUUAACUUUCAGAAUUCAUGAAUCUUGGUUUGGUGGCAUGAAUGAAAGGUUAUGUAACCCCACCAGUAACUCAUUUGGGGUGCCCUUGAAAUAUUAAAGUUUGGUCCUCAAUAAAUA
rnacentral:lncRNA from 10 species